rnacentral:rRNA from 1 species
GAUGAACGCUAGCGGGAGGCCUAACACAUGCAAGCCGAGCGGUAUAGAAUCUUCGGAUUUUAGAGAGCGGCGUACGGGUGCGGAACACGUGUGCAACCUACCUUUAUCUGGAGGAUAGCCUUUCGAAAGGAAGAUUAAUACUCCAUAAUAUAUUGAUUGGCAUCAAUUAAUAUUGAAAGCUCUGGCGGAUAGAGAUGGGCACGCGCAAGAUUAGUUAGUUGGUGAGGUAACGGCUCACCAAGACGAUGAUCUUUAGGGGGCCUGAGAGGUGAUCCCCACACUGGUACUGAGACACGGACCAGACUCCUACGGGAGGCAGCAGUGAGGAAUAUUGGACAAUGGGUGCAAGCCUGAUCCAGCCAUCCGCGUGAAGGGCGACUGCCCUAUGGGUUGUAAACUUCUUUUGUAUAGGGAUAAACCUCUCCUCGUGAGGAGAGCUGAAGGUACUAUACGAAUAAGCAACCGGCUAACUCCGUGCCAGCAGCCGCGGUAAU